AUACCCUAUUAUACUAGAUGUUAAUUUUUAAACUUGGGUAGUAAUAGUUAUGUUCUUGAAACCCAAAGAAUUUGGCGGUAUUUUAGUCUUUUCAGAGGAACCUGUUGUGUAAUCGAUAGUCCACGAUUUUAUUCACUUUCAUUUGUUUUCAGUUUUUAUACCUCCGUCAUAAGAAUAUUUUUUUAGAAUAAAUUUUCUUAAUUGUUAAAUACUUAUAUGUCAGGUCAAGGUGAAGCUUAUAUGUAAGUAUUAAUGGGUUACAAUAAAUUUAUUUAUAUGGAUUUUUAAGUUUAUAUUUAAAUUGAAAGUGGAUUUGUUAGUAAAGGUUAUUAAUUAAUUUUCUUGAUUUUAGCUCUAAAAUAUGU
rnacentral:rRNA from 1 species